GACAGAGGGUGCAAACGUUGUUCGGAAUUACUGGGCGUAAAGCGCGUGUAGGUGGCGAGGCAAGUCGGGUGUGAAAGCCCUGGGCUCAACCCAGGAAGUGCACUCGAUACUGCCUAGCUAGAGUCCCGGAGAGGUUGGUGGAGCUCUCGGUGUAGAGGUGAAAUUCGUAGAUAUCGAGAAGAACACCGGUGGCGAAGGCGGCCAACUGGACGGUGACUGACACUGAGACGCGAAAGCGUGGGGAGCGAACAGG
rnacentral:rRNA from 1 species